UGGUGGGGUAACGGCCCACCAAGCCUAAGAUCCAUACGGGCCAUGGGAGUGGGAGCCCGGAGAUGGACCCUGAGACAAGGGUCCAGGCCCUACGGGGCGCAGCAGGCGCGAAACCUCCGCAAUGCGGGAAACCGCGACGGGGUCAGCCGGAGUGCCGAUGCUUGCAUCGGCUGUCGGGGAGCCUAAAAAGCUCCCCAUAGCAAGGGCCGGGCAAGGCCGGUGGCAGCCGCCGCGGUAAUACCGGCGGCCCGAGUGGCGGCCACUAUUAUUGGGCUUAAAGCGUCCGUAGCCGGGUUGGUUAGUCUCCCGGGAAAUCUGGCCGCUUAACGGUCAGAAUUCCGGGAGAUACUGCCAGCCUAGGGACCGGGAGAGGCCGAGGGUAUUCCCGGGGUAGGGGUGAAAUCCUAUAAUCCCGGGAGGACCACCUGUGGCGAAGGCGCUCGGCUGGAACGGGUCCGACGGUGAGGGACGAAGGCCAGGGGAGCAAACCGGAUUAGAU
rnacentral:rRNA from 1 species